ACAGAAAGGGAAAGACAGAGGAGGGUAAACAAAACAGUGCAGACAGCAGAGGUUACAGAGAUGUCUCCACAAGCCAAGCAAUGCCAAGAAUUUAGGCAGCCAGGAGAAGCUGGGAAGGAGGCCUGGAACAGAUGAUCCUAUGCAGCCCUCAGAAUGAAGCCGUCCUGCUGGCACUUUGCUUCGUACCUCUGGCCCCGGCGCUGUGAAAGAAUCCACUUCUAUUGUCUUCAGUCAUGUGUUCAUGACCACAGCAGAUUUAAACAUAGCAGAUUUAAAAAGAUCAGCUGGGUAACAUUUGGGCACGAGGUGGCAUUAGAGGCCUUUGCUGGUGGUAUUAUUCCAGAAGACACUUUUGAGAAUAAAAAGGAAGCACAAAAGUGGCAAUCAUGGAUGUAUCCCAGCUCCAACCCAACUGUCCCUGACGUGGCAAUCCAUGUUGUGCAAGAAGAUUCCAGGGAAGACGGAUGCCCUGGGGCACCUGCCAGCCUGCAGGUCUAUCUGGAGUACGCAGAGGGGAGGGACUCUCAGUCCUUGGCCAUCUCCCCAGGAACACGUGAGCCUGGUUGGGCACAGGACCAAGGGAGCUUGGAUCUGCUCAGGCCAAUAAUGUGACACAGGUAUGGCACUUGGAGAACAGGUGGAUGCACAACCCCUCCGUGGGAGGAAACUGGGGACAGCAAGGGAAAAGGAUGUGAGCGCAGAGGCCAGAACCAGCACAUUCCAGAGAGCCCCCAGCUAUCCAGACCAGCAUCAAGGUCAGGUGAGACUCACAGAAGCAACUGGGAGGCCAGGCCAGCCAGCAGGGAAGUUGGCAAGAGAGUCCAAGCGAAGCACUCUUUAAGUAUCAGAUAUGUGCCAGGCAUUCUUCUGGACAGAAUAUGGAGCAGAGGAAAAAAGAAAAAAGAAAUGAAGUCCAAGUAAGUCUCUUUCCCCCGGGAAGAGAUAAUGAAGAUGUCUUCUAACACCAUUUGAGUUACAACCAAGCUGUUGCUGGUAGGGAAAUGGAUCCAAGGAGUAACACAAUCAGCCAAACCUCAGGAAGUCUUCCUGACAGGAGAGGACUUGAAACUCCCUGUCUCACCUCUGCCUCAAUUUCUCUCUGUUCGAGACCCACUAGCUGACUGGCGUAGUGUGUUCACUUAAAAAAUUUCUUGUCACCUUUUCCUGUAUUUAAAGGGAGGUAUGUUCUAUUCUUGCACAUACAAAGACUCGUUAUAUAUGAAGUCUUUCAAUAAAGCACUCUUUAUAAUUUUUUAAAAAGCUUGUUUUAUCUCAUGAAGACUGAAGAUAAAAGAUACACAGACUCCUGGAACUCGUUGUCUACAGGUAGUCCCAUGGAUCAAACUGCUGCUCAUCUGAUUUGGGACUUAUUUAAGCAUAAACUUGCCCUAAAUAAAACCAAAAC